UGAGGAAUAUUGGUCAAUGGGCGCAAGCCUGAACCAGCCAUCCCGCGUGCAGGAAGACGGCCCUAUGGGUUGUAAACUGCUUUUCCAGGGGGCGAACGUUACGUACGUGUACGGGAGUGACGGUACCCUGGGAAUAAGCAUCGGCUAACUCCGUGCCAGCAGCCGCGGUAAUACGGAGGAUGCGAGCGUUAUCCGGAUUUAUUGGGUUUAAAGGGUGCGUAGGCGGAUUAAUAAGUCAGUGGUGAAAACCUGCAGCUUAACUGUGGAACUGCCGUUGAUACUGUUAGUCUUGAGUAUGGUCAAGGUAGGCGGAAUGUGUAAUGUAGCGGUGAAAUGCUUAGAUAUUACACAGAACACCGAUUGCGAAGGCAGCUUACUGGGCCGUUACUGACGCUGAUGCACGAAAGCGUGGGGAUCGAACA
rnacentral:rRNA from 1 species